UUCGUCACACUAUCAUUAACUGAAUCCAUAGGUUAAUGAGGCGAACCGGGGGAACUGAAACAUCUAAGUACCCCGAGGAAAAGAAAUCAACCGAGAUUCCCCCAGUAGCGGCGAGCGAACGGGGAGGAGCCCAGAGCCUGAAUCAGUGUGUGUGUUAGUGGAAGCGUCUGGAAAGGCGCGCGAUACAGGGUGACAGCCCCGUACACAAAAAUGCACAUACUGUGAGCUCGAUGAGUAGGGCGGGACACGUGGUAUCCUGUCUGAAUAUGGGGGGACCAUCCUCCAAGGCUAAAUACUCCUGACUGACCGAUAGUGAACCAGUACCGUGAGGGAAAGGCGAAAAGAACCCCGGCGAGGGGAGUGAAAAAGAACCUGAAACCGU
rnacentral:rRNA from 1 species